AUGGUACUCCCUCCGUUCAAAAUUCUUGUCUUAAAUUUAUCUAGAUAUAAAUAUAUUUAGUCACGUUUUAGUAUCUAGAUACAUUCAUUUUUAAACAAACAUAAGACAAAAAUUUUGGGACGGAGGGAGUAACAU
rnacentral:pre_miRNA from 1 species